rnacentral:rRNA from 1 species
UACAGAGGGGGCAAGCGUUGUUCGGAAUUACUGGGCGUAAAGGGCGCGUAGGCGGCCUUCUAAGUCGAACGUGAAAUCCCCGGGCUCAACCCGGGAACUGCGUCCGAUACUGGAAGGCUUGAAUCCGGGAGAGGGAUGCGGAAUUCCAGGUGUAGCGGUGAAAUGCGUAGAUAUCUGGAGGAACACCGGUGGCGAAGGCGGCAUCCUGGACCGGCAUUGACGCUGAGGCGCGAAAGCUAGGGGAGCAAACAGG